rnacentral:lncRNA from 1 species
AAGCACUCUGCUAGAAGGAUAGAGAUCAGCCACCGAAAACCCUCCCAUAAGCUCCAAUUGCUCCUCGAUCUUUGAAAUGAACACUCCUUGAUACUUUCUCCUUUUACCAAAAGCCGCACGUGCCGUUAUUCCGUAGGUCAUGGGGUAAAUGCUCUGGCUGAGAUUAACAACGCACCCUUCACUUUCACCUAUUUUCUUAACCAGUUCCGCCACCUCCUCUUCCCUUAUUGACCGGAAAGAUUGCACGCGCUUUGCGGUUAGUAGCUCCACCGUGCAUAUCUUCCGCACUUGCCUCCAAUAUUCCCCAUAUGGAGAGAAAACUAUGUCAGUAUUGUUGUAAGAAACUGUUCUAGACGAUACAAGGUUGGGCCUGUCACAGAAAUUAACAUCAUGUGUUUUCAUAAUCUCUUGGGCCAUCUCUGGUGAGGUGAUUAUGAUGUUGGAAACCUCUCCUAGUUUUAGGUGCAUUAUUGGCCCAUACUUAUCUGCAAAUUUUUUCAAGCAGUGAUGAGGAAGCAAACCUACAAACUGGUGUAAGUUCCCUAUGAGAGGUAGUGUUCUAGGUCCUGGAGCUAAAUUGGUGGAUGAGUUGUUGGAACCCCGUUUUUGAAGUAAUUUGAGUAAGAUGAAGAGAAGGAAGAGAAUGGAAGUAAUUGAGUAAACAGAGAAAGGGUUGGCGUCGUGAACCUCCAUGGCCAUCUGAUACAAUGAAUCCCUCAAUCAAGCCUCCUAUUUAUGGAAAGAUAUUUGUCACUAAAAUAUGGUGUUUUUUAUCCCCAGGAUGUGGACAUCAUUCCUUGCAAUUUUACAAAACAGAUUAUAUUUAUUAUUUAAAUUUAAAUUUAUAGAAAAUAUAAUUACAAUGUAAUAUAAGAAAAACACGUAAUAAUUGAGGCAGCCAAAAUAAAAUUACGGUACUUAAAUCAAUUUAGUAACAAAUUAAAAAAAAAACAUAUGCAUGUGUAGUGUUUGUAUCUUUUGUGUAUAAAUAACUCUAACAACUAAUUUUUAAUUUGUGAAAAAUGAGUUUUAUUUUUCUAACAAAAUUUAAUUAAUUUUAAAUGAACCAUAAUCUCCUGCAUCCUCGUACCUUCUUCUUUAUAACACAAUGUUUAAUAGAACACUUUAUCAUUUGAAAGUUAUUGAGAUUAUUUGUUGUAUUCGAUGUUAUCAAUUUUUUUAAGUUUUGUACUCCAUAUUUAUAUUUUGUUUUUUUUAUGGAUUUCGUCACUUUAAAAAAAAAAGUGAACAAAAAUAUAACAACUAUGAGUAAAAACAUCAUAAAACUUAUCUUAACCAUCAACAUCAUCCACGACCAUAAGUAACUAUCUCAAACAAGCAUCACAAUUUGAAAAUGAAGAAAAAGAGAUCACACUUUCUCUCCCAUACUCAAAAGAAUAUUAUUGAAAUAAAUAAAAAAAUAUAGAAAUACAUUGAUAAGAUAUGGAGGUGAAGUAAGAAUUUGUCCUUUAUUUUUUGUAUGUUUUCUCUACCUUUCUUUGGUUCAUUUAUCUGAUCCACUUGUUAAUUGAAAAAAAAAAGAGUUGCAUUGAAAUGUUUAUCGAAAACUAUUUUUUUAUGCUGAAAGGAAUAAAUUACACAAAAUAAAUAAAAGAAAUCAAAUUAUUAACUAAAUACGUAUUAUUAUUAUUAUUUUAUCUAAAAUCUACUUAAAUGUUAUUUGUAGUAUGUAGAUCUUGUUUAAAAUAGCUAAAUAUUUUAUCACAUUAAUUGAGAUAAGGUAUAAGACGUUAGAACUAAUAUUAUCUUUAUAUUUAAUAGGAUAAAAGUUAAACAAAUUCUUUUCAUUCUCGUCAUACUAACCUUUCUUAAUCAAGGCGGCACAAUAGAUUUUUCUACUAAUUUCAAUUUCAAGAAUAAAAACAUAAAAACUUUGAGAAAGGUUUAUAUGUUAAUAAAUAAGACGAAAUAAAUAGUACAAGAAGUGGAUGCAAAUAAUUAGCAUUAUGAAUGGUCAAUGUUUAUUUAUUUAUUCUCUAAGCAUAAACUCAUUGGCUCCAUUUAAAUGCCUUAUCUUUUUUUUAAGGUGUAGUUUUGUUGGUAAAGGACGUCUUUGUAAAAAGUUAGAGAGAGAGAAAUGACUUCUUCAUAAUUUAAAAUUAAAUCAUUCACUAAUUUAAAUAAAAAUUUAAAACAGUCAUGUGAAAUAAAUUAUAUAAAAUAAUUCCAACUUAUAAUUUCUUUUCUUUACUAUUUGUUCUCUCCUAUAAAUUAUUUUCUAAAAUUAAAUUCAUCCUCUUUAUUUAUAACUUUUUUUACUUCUAUUAGUUCGUUGAUUAAAUAUAAAGAAAAUUAUAUUGUAUGCGAGAAGUAUAUAUUUUCUUUUAUCUUUUCCUUAUUUAAUAUAUAUAUAUAUAUAUAUAUAUAUAUAUAUAUAUAAAGUUCAGUAUGACAUAUUUUCUUAUUUUUCAUGAUUUAGUGAGUUUUACCAAACAAGUUUUCUUGCGUUAACCUUUAUUUUUAAUUAAGCAUGUUAAAAAUAAAAUUGUAUUUAAAUAUAUUAUUUGAUUUAAUGUUGGUAAAAAUUAUUUAAAUUGAUUGAGUAUGAAUAUAGACAUGUAUAAUAAUUAACUUUUUAAAUUGAAUAUGAGAAUCAAAUCAGUAUCUAUAUAUUUGAUAUAUUUCGUUUUAAAUUAAUUUAUUAUUCUACUUAAAAAAUAUGUAAUUUUAAUUUAUGAAGAAUCAUUCUCCUCUCUCACUCAAUUAUCUUUUAUUUUUACAUAUAAUAUAAUUUUUAAUUAUUUAUCUUUUUAAGGUUUGAUGUAUUUAUUUAUUAUCAAUUGUAAAAAAUCUCAUAUCAUAAGCUAUUUAAUAUAAAUACAAAAUACAAUUAUAUCUUAAAAUAUUUUUUCUUUAUUAUAAUUUUAUUUAUUUAUAGUUAGUUAAUUAGUAAAAUAAAAAGUAUUCAAUAAUAAUGUACAACUUUAAUAUAUUAAGAUUAUUGUUUUUUAUAAUUUUUUAAAAUUGUAUUUGGUUGAAAAUCUAAAAACUCUAAUAAUAGAAUUCUAUAUUUAUUAAAAUCUAAUAAAUAAAUAAAAUUAUUCUUAUUUUUUCAAUAUUAAGGUAGAACAUAUAUGUAAACCUUUAUUCUGAGUCGUUUAUGAAAACAUUUAUAGAGUAAUAGAGUUUUGGAAGGCGGACUAGAUGAUCAAAUGAAUUUAUCCCAACCACAUGAAACUUCUGGUUUCAAGAAAAAAGUCUUAGCCGAUUGAAAAGUGAAACGACCAGACUCAUAUAAAAUCCAAUUAGGAAUAUCAUGUUCCUUCCUAACCAUGAUAUACUUAUAAAAAUGAGGCAUUUGCUGUAAAGACAAAGGAAUAUUCCAAUUUCAACCUGUCCAAAACUGAGAGACUGCAACCGGAAUGCUAGUAGCACUAUCAGAUAACCCUGCAAUAUUUGCGAAAGAAGUAGUAAAACACCAUUUUUUUUAUAAAAGUUUUGAUGUUAGGCAUCACUAUGCAACUUGACAUAUCAGCUAGGCUGACACCUCAAGUAACAACAAUCAUCUGCCAUCACAUGAAAAAAGUAUUAUUAAAAAAAAGAAAAAGAAAGAAAAUACAAAAAUAUGGGGGGACUAGACCAAAACCCACAUGUUAACAAAAACAAUACAUAGGUAGACUAUACCUGUUCAUAAAGAAUUCUAAGAACAAACUAGAUGGAAGUCUAUUAUACCAAUGAAAUGAUUCUCUGUGAAUGAACCCUAAAUUAGCCAACUUAUCAGCACAUGCAUUUCCCUCACGAAAAAUAUGAGUAACCCUAAACUUGAUUGUCCUACAGAAAUUAAGACUUAAUAUCCCCCCUACAAAAAAUAAAAAUGUCAUCAGCAUACAAAAUAUGAGAGGGAGUGAGAUAACCUUUCAGACUAGCCAUAUUUAAAAUCUUCUUAUCAUUCACAAGCUUAGAGAUACCUCUACUAAGAACUUCCUCUACAAGACAAAAAAGUAAAGGAGACAAUGGAUCACCUUGUCUUACACCUCGACUGUAGGGAAAGAAACCCACCAAACUACCACUUAUUCUGAUAGAAAGCAUAGCUGAACGGAGAAUUGUACUAAUCCAACUGACAAACGAGGGGUGAAAACCAAAGCGUUUCAAAACUAAUAAUAAGAAUUUCCAACUCAGAGUGUACCAUUUAUCAUUCCAGAAAUUAAUAAAAGUACAUGUACUUGUACCAACAGUCCAAGAAGUAUAAUCAAGUAUAGUAAAAUAAAACUGCUUAAUUCCAGGUCAAAGAGAUGAGAUUUAUAAACCAUUCUAAAGUCGUAUUUUGAUUUAAGAACCCUGACUUUCAAGAGAAAAGACCAAGGUAUGUUGCUAUAAGCAAAUUUCCAAGCAAACUUAAGAAGAUACACAUUAUUUUCAUGACGAAGAUUAAUAAUCUUCAAACCUCCAUUCUCAAUAGGAGAACAAAUUGUAUUCCAAUUCACGGUAACUAUGCCUUUUUUUUCAGAAUAUCACCAGUCCAAAUAAAAUUUUGACACCACUGCUCAACUUGGUUAAGAAGUGAAAUAGGCCAUUUAUACAUAUUAAAACUAUAAGUUAGAAAUCCAGUAAUCACUGUAUUGACCAACUGAAUCCGACCCAUCAUGUUAAGAGUUUUACCUUUUCAAGAUGCUAGUUUCAAUUUGACUUUAGCAGUCAAAGGUUGAAGAAAUCGACUCUUUGGAGCACCAACAAAGUUUAACACUCAUAAAUAAUUGAAAGGCAAACAACCAUGACUACAAGAAAAAAUGCAUUGAAUUUCGAUGACAAAUCAUGCAGAAUUAUCCAUUGGUAAAAAAACUACUUUUAAAGUAUUAACACAUUGACCAUAAAAAUCACCAUAUUGUCUCCUAAAUUUCUUUAUUCUCAGUUAUAUUUAUUCAAGAAAACAACUUAUAAUUAAGAGAAAAAUUACCUUAUAGACACAAGAAGACUUUUAUUAGAAGGAGAAUUUUUUUUUUAACAUUUUGUGAAAUAUUGGUUGCAUUGUCUACACCUGGAACUAAAAGAAAAGACUUUCAUCUUUUAAGUUUUACAAAUUUUUUUAUAUAUUCAAAAUAUCUUGUAUUCAUAAUAUAUUGGAUAGCUAAUAUAUUGAAUUUGAAUUUCUUCAUUUAUUGAUUUUGAAUGUAAUGAACCUUAAUUAUGUAUAUAUUUCUUUGCAUUUUAACAUAGAUUUGAUUUUGAAUGUAAUGAACCUUAAGUAUGUAUAUAUUCUUUGCAUUUUAACAUAGAUUUCUUUUUAUAGCUUUUGUAUUCUACCUUCAUGCUUCACAUGCAUAACUUGAUUAUUUAUGUUUUAUUAAGUUUAUUACAUUGAAAAAAUAUUUUAAAGGUUAUAAAUUAAUGGUUGAAGAAAGAAGGAAUGUUAUGUUAAGCAUAAUAUUAGGUACAUUAGUCAUUCUUACAUAAAAUUUAAGAUGUUUUUAUUAAAAAAAUUAAAAUUUGAAUAAACUAAAUGAAAGAAUAAUGAUGACAGUUGUACACAAAACUUUUUAUAAAAUUCAUAAAGUAGAAAGUAGUAAAAGACAAAAGUUAAAUAGUUGAUGACAUAAAAUUUGGACAUUACAUUUUAAGUUUCAGGAAUUAUGGGAAUCAAGCAAAGGUCAUUUUUUCUUCUAAGGGUAAUUCCACCUGACUCAGUCAUGUCAAGUUCAUCAUUCUUCAUUUUGUUGGGAAGCUUCCAAUCAAAAUGGUAAAGUAAUUGAGCAAGUGGCAACUCAACGUUGGGGAUGGCAAAAGUAAUGCCUGGGCAGAUCCUUCUGCCAGCACCAAAUGGGAUAAAUUCAAAGUGUGUACCUUUGAAAUCAAUGGAGUUAUCAAGAAACCUCUCAGGUUUAAAACUCUGAGCUUCACUCCAAUACUCAUGAUUCCUUCCAAUUGCCCAAGCAUUGAUAAUUACCCUAGUCUUAGAGGGUAUCUCAUAUCCAUUGAUUUGGCAUCUUUCUCUACUUUCCCUAGGAACUAACAAUGGUACAGGUGGGUGUAACCUCAAUGUUUCUUUGAUGAUGCACUUUAAGUAUAUCAUUUUAUGUAAUUCUGUCUCAUCCACAUAUCCUUUCUCACCAUACACUCUUCUCACCUCUGCUUGUGCCUUUUCCAUCACUCUUGGGUUUCUUAUCAAUUCUGACAUCCCCCAUUCCACUACAGAAGAUGAAGUCUCUCCCCCACCGAUAAAUAUGUCCUGCAAAAUAUAGAUUAAUACAGGGGAGGAGGAAAUAACAUGAAGUAUCAAGGAGGGUUCAAAAUAAAAUAUAAAAAGUUCAAAAUUAGUAUAUAAAAAUUCACUUUUUAAUAAAAUAUCAGAAUAAAUUAAGUGUAUCUUAGCAAAAGUUUGUUGGUGUUAUCAAACCACCUGCUAUCAAGUCAUUCAUAAAUGUAUAAUUUCACAUACAAGGAAAUCGCCUCAACCAUAGAGAUUAGUUUUUUAAUAUAAUAUCAAAUUCAAUUAAAGUUUAUCUUAGAGUUUGUUAGUCUUAUCAAACCACCUCCUAUUAAGUCACGUCACCCAUAAAUAUAUAGUCUCACAUACAAGAUAACAACCUCAACAUAAGAUAUUAGUUUUUUUAAUAUAAGAUUAAAGUUAAUUAAAGUCUAUCUUAUCACGAAUUUAUUAGUCUUUUCAAGCCACCUACUAUCAAGUCAUCCAUAAAUAUAUAGUCUCCCGUACAAGAUAACACUUUCAACCUAAACAUAAGAAACUAAUUUAAAGAAUAAAACAUUUCAUAAUAUAUAAAAUAAAUCCAAACUUCACAUUAUAAAUUUUUAAUUAGAAUUAACAUCUACUUUUUAAUAUAAACAUAAUUUUAUUUAUAUUUUUAUUAUUAAAAAGUAGGUGUCAUGUUUGUGGUUGAAAAACAUGUGAAAUAUUUGUCAUGUAUAGAGAGACACACUAACCUGGAUGACCGCUUUAAUGUUGUCAUCGGUUAAGCGAGUUUCGGAAUCGUUAUCCUGUUGAUACUUGAGAAGAACAUCAACCAGAUCUUCCUCUGCUUCCGACUCGCUGCUGCUUCUAUGUCUCUCUCUGUGUUCGUCGAUGAUGUCUUGCAAAACCCUGUCAACCUCUCUGUGAACUUUCUCAAAUUUCACCUUCGCCACCAUUUCAAGCACUCUGCUAGAAGGAUAGAGAUCAGCCACCGAAAACCCUCCUAUAAGCUCUAAUUGCUCCUCAAUCUUUGAUAUGAACACUUGUUGAUAUCUGCUCUUUUUACCAAAAGCCGCACGUGCCGUUAUUCCAUAGGUCAUGGGGUAAAUGCUCUGGGUGAGAUUAACAACGCACCCUUCACUUUCACCUAUUUUCUUAACCAGUUCUGCCACUUCCUCUUCCCUUAUUGACCGGAAAGAUUGCACGCGCUUUGUGGUAAGUAGCUCCACCGUGCAUAUCUUUCGCACUUGCCUCCAAUAUUCUCCAUAUGGAGAGAAGACUAUGUUACUAUUGUUGUAAGAAACUGUUCUAGACGAUACAAGGUUGGGCCUGUCACAAAAAUUAACAUCAUGUGUUUUCAUAAUCUCUUGGGCCAUCUCUGGUGAGGUGAUUAUGAUGUUGGAAACCUCUCCUAGUUUUAGGUGCAUUAUUGGCCCAUACUUAUCUGCAAAAUUUUUCAAGCAGUGAUGAGGAAGCAAACCUACAAACUGGUGUAAGUUCCCUAUGAGAGGUAGUGUUCUAGGUCCUGGAGCUAAAUUGGUGGAUGAGUUGUUGGAACCCCAUUUCUGAAGUGAUUUGAAUAAGAUGAAGAGAAGGAAGAGAAUGGAAGUAAUUGAGUAAACAGAGAAAGGGUUGGCGUCGUGAACCUCCAUGGUCAUGGAUAUAAUGGUAGAUCUGGGAGAAGGAAGAACCGUGGAAGAGAAUAUGAAUGCAUAAUCAUGGCACGUACUUCUUUAUUUAUUUAUAUAUAUGGGAAGAUAUUGGUCACUCAAAUGUGGUCUUGUUAUCCCUACUUUGCCACCACACACAGUGAAACACAUUCAUUCCACAUAAAAUAAAUAAAUAAAAGAAAUCAAAUUAUUAACUAAAUACGUUUCUUUUUUAUCUGAAAUCUACUUAAAUGUUAUUUGCAGUAUCUAGAUCUUGUUUAAAAGAACUAAAUAUUUCAUCACAUUAAUUGAGUCAAACUAAUAUUAUCUUAUAUUUAAUAGGAUAAAAGUUAAACAAAUUCUUUUCAUUCUCGUCAUACUAACCUUUCUUAAUCAAGCCGGCACAGUAGAUUUUUCUACUAAUUUCAAUUUUAAGAGUAAAAACAUAAAAACUUUGAGAAAUGUUUACAUGUUAAUAAAUAAGACGAAAUAAAUAGUACAAGAUGUGGAUGCAAAUAAUUAGCAUUAUGAAUGGUCAAUGUUUAUUUAUUUAUUCUCUAAGCAAAAACUCAUUGGCUCCAUUUAAAUGCUUUAUCUUUUUUUUAAGGUGUAGUUUUGUUGGUAAACGACGCCUUUGUAAAAAGUUAGAGAGAGAGAGAAAUGGCUUCUUUAUAAAUUAAAAUUAAAUCAUUCACUAAUUUAAAUAAAAAUUUAAAACAGUUAUGUGAAAUAAAUUAUAUAAAAUAAUUCCAACUUAUAAUUUCUUUUCUUUACUAUUUGUUCUCUCCCACAAAUUAUUUUCUAAAAUUAAAUUCAUCCUCUUUAUUUAUAAUUUUUUUACUUCUAUUAGUUCGUUGAUUAAAUAUAAAGAAAAUUAUAUUGUAUGCGAUAACUAUAUAUUUUUGUUUUAUCUUUUCCUUAUUUUAUAUAUAUAUAUAUAUAUAAACUGUAAAAAAAAAUUCAAAAACAUUAUUUACCACAAAGGGAAUUGUUUCUACGUGUCACUCUCAGGGCACAUCAUCGUGGCUCUCUAAAUGCACGACACGUAGCACAUAAACCCACCCCAUAUUCACCUUUUCACUCUGAUCCUCUGCAUUCUCUCCCUCUCUCUCUCAGACUCUCUGCACACCAUAUUCACCUUUUCACUCUGACCCUCUGCAUUCUCUCUCUCUCUCAACUACACACCACGCCUCUCACUCUCUUCAUUCCCUCCACACACUAAACCCUUACUCUCUUCUACUUUCCCCUUCUCUUUCACCGAUUUGGCAACUGCACACCUUCUGCUCAUUGCCUUACCAACACUACAAAUCUCUUCUUAAGGUAUUUUUCACUUGGCGCGAUUUUUGAAUUUUGAAAUUUUGAAAUGGUUAUCAAGAUUGGUUUUUGAGAAUAUAUAGGUACAAAGACCCAUUCAUAUCUCAUUUCCUCUUUUCAUUUGCCGAAAAACAGGUGAUUCUUUAAUCAUUUCUUUUCACUUCUGUUGGGUUUUGAUGUAUUUUUUAUUCGCAAAUGAUGAUUUUUUAUUCUAUGUUUCUUAUGUUUUUCGUUGUUCUUGGGUUUUCUCAUUGAAGUUUCAAACUUUGAUUUGUUCCGAACAUAAAAGGUGAUACUUUUAUCAUUUCUUUCAAUUUUUUGGUGCAUUUUCUGCCGUUUUAUUUAUGUUCGUGGUUCUAUGUUUCUUAUGUUUUUCGUUGUUCUUAGGAUUUCUCAUUAAAGUUUUGAACUUUGAUUUACUCCGAACACAAAAUGUGAGACUUUUAUCAUUUCUUUCAAUUUUUUGGGUAUUUUCUGCCGUUUUAUUUAUGUUUAUGGUUAUAUGUUUCUUAUGCUUUUCGCUAUUCUUGGAGUUUCUCAUUAAAGUUUCGAACUUUGAUUUGCUCCGAACAUAUAAGGUGAGACUUUUAUCAUUUCUUAAAUUUUGUUGUUACAUUUUCUGCCGUUUUAUUUAUGUUCGUGGUUUUAUGUUUCUUAUGUUUUUCACUGUUCUUAGGGUUUCAAUUGACAAUGUUUUGGGUGUUUUUUCUGCAACUAUUUUUGCUGUAGAUUUUGUAGGAACUAAUUGAAGGAAAUAAGAAAAGACAAAAGGUUAUAGCAACUGAUUAAACGUAAUUGCACAAAAUUGCAAAACUAAUCUUAUUCAUUUUUAUUUACUCAAUCAUAUAUAUAAUAAAAUUACAAUUACUGGAAGCUAUAAAAUAGGAAUACUAACAAGCCUAUAAACUAACCAUUAAUGCAAUAUAACGGUAAAAUAGUUUAAGGGUAAUAAAAUCAUAAUUAAUAAUAACAAAAUCAGAAUUAAUAACCAACAUCCUCCCUUAAUUCUGAUUUGGAACAACCUUCCCAAUUUGAUUCAUUAUAUUGUUCUUCUCAAUCGCCAUCAAUUCUUCAUUCAUAGUCUUUUGCCAUUUGGGAUGUUGAAUGGCAUCGGCAAGUCUCACAGGUUCUGAUUCUGCAAGAAAAGAAAAGUGAACCAAAUCUCCAUUGUCAUCAACUUCAUCAUCAAGAUUUACUUCGCAAUCUUGAAGAUGUACAGGUUGUCGCUGCUGCCUUCUUGGUCGCUCCAUCAUAGUUGCAAUUGGAGUUGCAACUUCAGGUUGAAUUACAACUUCAGGUUGAACUGCAGCUUCAGGUUGAACUGCAGCUUCAGGUUGAAUUGCAGAUGCUUCAAGAGUGACUCCAUCUUCCAUAUCAUCAUUCAAAAUAUAAAUAUAUCGUUUUUUCGAAUCUAUUUCAGCUGCUGCAUUCCAUUGCCAUUCCUCAUUUUCGGCAAAUGUAACAUCACGACUAACAAUCACCUUCUUUGUCAUUGGAUUGUACAGUUUGUAUCCCCCAUGCUUAUAUCCAAUGAAAAUGGUCUUCACUGCCUUAUCAUUCAACUUCGAUCUUGCUGCCUUGGGAACAUGAGCAUAAGUAAUUGACCCAAAUACCUUCAAGUGUUGCACAUUGGGUUUGAUUCCACUCCAUGCCUCAAUCGGAGUUGUGUUAAGAACACUCCGAGUGGGUGAUCUGUUUAUCAAAUAUACCGCACAUGUUACGGCCUCAGCCCAAAAAUAAUUUGGCAUACCUUUCGCUUUAAGCAUGCUCCUUGCCAUGUCCAUGAUUGUUCUAUUCUUUCUCUCAGCAACUCCGUUGUGUUGAGGUGUGUAGGGGCAAGUUAUGUUAUGUUGCAACCCAAGUUCUUCACAGUGCCUCUUGAAUUCAUUAGACUUGUACUCACCUCCUUCGUCACUACGCACCAUCUUGAUUUGUCUGCCACUCUCUCUUUCAACAAAUGCUUUAAAUAUUUUAAAGCAGUGGAAUACCUCAUCCUUGCUUUUCAAUACAUAAAUCCCAGGUUUUCCUUGAAAAAUCAUCAAUAAAGGUUAAAAAAUACUUAUUACCUCCAACUGAUGAUAUGUUCAUCGAGCCACAAACAUCUGUAUGAACAAGCUCUAAAGGAAAUUUUGCACGCCAAGGCUCCUUAACAAAUGGUAUCCUGUGAUUCUUUCCAAAAAUGCAAGCCUAACACAAUUGAUCAGGGUGAUGAAUAUGGGGUAAACCAUUCACUAAAUUUCUUUUGGAAAGAUUUUCCAAACUCUGAAAAUUUAAGUGCCCAAAGCGUAAAUGCCAUAACCACGAUUCAUUAUUCACUAUUGCAUUCAAGCACUUGAAAUCACCCAUAUGAAUAUCUAUUGGAAACAUGCGGUUUUUUGAUAAAAAGGAUUUAAGAAUCAAACUACCUUUUUUUUAUCAAAAAUUGAUAAUUUAUUUUCAACUAUGUGAAUCACAUAACCCUUCUCGGCCAGCUGCCCCAUACUCAACAAAUUACUUUUCAUAUCAGGUACAUAGAAAACAUCAUAGAUGUACCUGUGAUCACCAUUGUUCAAUGUGAUAAGAAUUCUCCCUUUUCCAGUCACUGGAACGAACCUGCCAUCACCGAAUUUCACUUUUGUGCGAAAUGAGUCAUCCAAAUCUGCAAACAACUCCUUCUUACCACACAUAUAUGAUUCAUGCAACCUGUAUCCAAAUACCAAGUCUGAUUGUUUGGGGUUUCAUUUGAUGUGGCUGCCAUUAGUAUUGUAUGAUCCUCUUCAUCUUGUACAUGAUUACUCUCUUCUUGAGCACAAUUGACAGCAUGAUUAUCACCUUUUGAUCUGCACUCAUUUGCAUAAUGGCCACGUUUAUGGCAAUUAUAACACUCAACAUUUGAUUUAUUAUAAAUGUCUUCUCGUCCUCCACGACCACGUUCCACGCGCCAAGCGCCUCCAUGAUUCUGGCCACCACGAUCUUUGUUGAAAUAGCUACCAUGUUUAUGAUAGGAGCUACCAAUUGAGGCUUGUGCUUGUAAAGCCUUGUUCAAUUGGUUUUUCAAUACUAUUGUCAUUCAUCCGCUGCUCAUGCGCUCGUAGAGAACCAGACAAUAACCUUACUGUCAUUUUUGAAAUGUCAUUGGCCUCUUCAAUUACGGCAACAACAUGUUCAAAUUUGGGAGUUAAAGAUCUCAAAAUCUUUUCCACCUUUACCUGCUCCGAAUGUGUUUCGUCUUCAUCUGAUUUGUCAAGGCAAUAACUUUAUUUAUAUAGACAUCAAUAGUCUCUGUGGUUUCCAUCUGCAACAGUUCAUAUUGGCAUCUUAGGGUUUGAAGACGCACCCUCUUGAUCUAGUCAUCACCUUUAUAAUUGGUAGACAAAAUUGUCCAAGCCUCACUGGCGGUUGUUGCUCCUUCUAUCUGCUCAAACGUCUCGUCAUUCAUCCCUUGAUGGAUGAGAUACAAAGCCUUAUUGUCCUUCUUCUUCUGAUCACGAUGCGCUACUCGUUGCGCCUCAGUUACAUUAGCAGCUAAUGCAGACACUCCACUCUCAACAACAUCCCAUAACUCAUGAUAAUCAAACAAAACUCUCAUUUGCACACACCACCGAUUGUAAUUUUUUCCAUCAAGUAUAGAGACUGAUAAUUGGGUAGAGUUCAUGAUAACAACCUAGCUCUUGAUACCAGAUUUUACUAAAGAAUCACAGAUCAACUAAUCAACUAAAGAAUCACAUAUCAACUAAAGAAUCAUAGAUCAACUAAAGAAGGUAAUGCAAGGAAAAAAUGAGGUGUUGUUGCAAAAUCUGAGAAUUUGCAAAUUCAAAUUUCAAAUUUCAAAUCUGAAUUUAAUUUUGAUAAAGUUUGGAGCUUUAUUUUUAGUAUUUUAAUGUGAUAGAUGUUCUUCAUCAUGGAAUAUUGUUCUCUCUUCUUGAACUGCUCUUUCUCUCCAUCUACUUUCUGCAAUAUAAAGUAUAAUAACUGAAAACUUAUUUUUAUUUGUCCUAACUUAUUUUUAUUUAUCCUGCAGGCACAAUUUGAAGUAUUGUAUCAUCUGAAUUUGUAGCAUGGAUUGUAAUUUGUGUUGAUAAUAAUAUCAUAAUUGUUGUGAGUGCAUAAAAAUUGUUGUAUUAGUAUCAUGAAGAGUUGUAGGCAAUUAUUACUAAAUGUUGUAAUUUUAAUCUCACCUCUUCUAUAUUGAUGUUAUGAAAAUCUAUAAAAAUUGAAAGAUUUAUCAUAGAUCUUUCUUAAUGCAAUUGUUUUUUAUUCUCAUAGACUAAUAUGAAAUUGAAAACUAAUAUACGGAUAAAUACAAAAUAUUAAAUUAUUUUAUUUCCUACUUAAAUAAAAAUCUAAAAUAAAAAAAUUUAUGAGUUUUUAAAAUCCUAAAUAAAUAUAUGUCCCAAAAAAUUUAAUGUCAUUUUUAAAUAAGAAUCCAAAUUUAUAUGUUUUUCAAAAGUUUUAAAUAAAUAAAAAUUCUAAAUUAUUUUAUUUCCUACUUAAUAAAUAAUAUUUUCAAAAUUCUAAAUAGAUACAAAAUCUAAAUGAUAUAAAUUGCUUAAAUUAUUCAAAAUAAUAAUAAAUAAUAAUUCUAAAUUAUUUAAUUUCCUACCAACGGCGACUAUAUACACUUCAGAACGUCACUUUUACAUUGUUUACCUUCUUCAUUUUCUUCGUAAAAUUUUUUGGUAACUAAUUCAUAGUAUUUUUUUUUUAGACCAUAAAUUAAAUCACACAAAAAAUAAUGACAAAUUUAUUGGCUUUGAUUUUCAUUUCACAUGAUUUUAUGAACAAAAUAUAAAUUAUAAUAUUGAAAAAUUAAUGAAUAAAAUGAUAUAAUAUUGAUAAUUAAAUGGAAACUUAACAUGAGCUAUACAAUAAAUUACUAAUUUAAAAAAAUUAUUUAUAUUUUUAUUAAUGGCAAUUGAAUUCUUAAAAACAUUCUCUUUCUUUCUAAGAUUUCCAAAAUCUUAAAUAAAUAAAAAUUCUUAUGAUUUUUAAACCAAUGAUUCAAAAUUCUAAAUAUAUCCAUAUCCUAAAUUAUUUAAUGUCAUUCUUGAGUAAAAAUCUAAAAUGAAUAAAAUUUCUAAGUUUUUCAAAAUCAUAAAUAAAUACAAAUCCUAAAUAUUUUUAUUUCCUACUUAAAUAAAAAUCUAAAAAAAUUAUAUCCAUUUUUACUUACACAAACGGCGACUAUGUACACUGCAUAACGCCGCUUCCACAAACGGCGACUAUAUACACCUCAGAACGCCACUUUUACAAUGUUUACCUUCUUCAUUUUCUUCGUAAAAAUUUUUGGUAACUAAUUCAUAGUUUUUUUUUUUAAACCAUAAAUUAAAUCACAAAAAAAAUAAUGACAAAUUUAUUGGCUUUGAUUUUCAUUUCACAUGAUUUUAUGAACAAAAUAUAAAUUAUAAUAUUGAAAAAUUAAUGAAUAAAAUGAUAUAAUAUUGAUAAUUAAAUGGAAACUUAACAUGAGCUAUACAAUAAAUUACUAAUUUAAAAAAGGUAUUUAUAUAUUUUUAUUAAUGGCAAUUGAAUACUUAAAAACUUCGUCUUUCUUUCUAAGAUUUUCAAAAUCCUAAAUAAAUAAAAAUUCUAAUGAUUUUUAAACCAAAAUUUGAUUCAAAAUUCUAAAUAUAUCCAUAUCCUAAAAUAUUUAAUGUCAUUCUUGAAUAAAAAUCUAAAAUUAAUAAAAUUUCUAAGUUUUUCAAAAUCAUAAAUAAAUACAAAUCCUAAAUAUUUUUAUUUCCUACUUAAAUAAAAAUCUAAAAAAAUUAUAUCCAUUUUUACUUACACAAACGGCGACUAUGUACACUGCAGAAUGCCACUUCCAUAAACGGCGACCAUGUACACUGCAGAACGCCACUUCCACAAACAGCGACCAUGUACACUGCAGAACGCCACUUCCAUAAACGGCGGCGACUAUGUACACUUCAGAACGCCACUUUUACAAUGUUUACCUUCUUCAUUUCCUUCAUAAAAAAUUUUGAUAACUAAUUCAUAGUAUUUUUUUUAAACCAUAAAUUAAAUCACAAAAAAAAAUAAUGACAAAUUUAUUGGCUUUGAUUUUCAUUUCACAUGAUUUUAUGAACAAAAUAUAAAUUAUAAUAUUGAAAGAUUAAUGAAUAAAAUGAUAUAAUAUUGAUAAUUAAAUGGAAACUUAACAUAAGCUAUACAAUAAAUUACUAAUUUAAAAAGGUAUUUAUAUAUUUUUAUUAAUGACAAUUGAAUUCUUACCAACUUUGUCUUUCUUUCUAAGAUUUUCAAAAUCCUAAAUAAAUAAAAAUUCUUAUGAUUUUUAAACCAACAUUUGAUUCAAAAUUCUAAAUAUAUCCAUAUCCUAAAUUAUUUAAUGUCAUUCUUGAAUAAAAAUCUAAAAUUAAUAAAAUUUCUAACUUUUUCAAAAUCAUAAAUAAAUACAAAUCCUAAAUAUUUUUAUUUCCUACUUAAAUAAAAAUCUAAAAAAAAUACAUCCAUUUUUACUGCAGAGUAUUGCUUUGAUCAAGCCAAUGGUCUUUGUAAUGGAACAAGGUUGCAAGUUAUUGCUUUGAGUAAAAAUGUAAUUCGUGCAACAGUUCUAACAAAAACAAACAUUGGUGAGAAAAUAUUGAUUUCAAGAAUGAAUUUGAUCUCUUCAGAUGCAGGUAUGCCCUUUAAAUUCCAAGAAGACAAUUUCCAAUAGCUUUAUGUUUUUCAAUGAGAAUUAAUAAGAGCCAAGGUCAAUCAUUGGCAAAAGUUGGUAUAUAUCUUCCACGUCCAGUUUUCACACAUGGACAGUUGUAUGUAGCUGUCUCUAGAGUCAGAACGAGGAAAGGAUUGAGAAUUGUUAUUCUCAAUGAAGAUGGGAAUGUAACAAACAAGACAAAAAAUGUUGUUUAUACUGAAGUUUUUGACAAUAUUUGAAAAGCAAUGUUGUUAUAUGUUACACCUUGAAUUGUAAUUUGAAGUUAAAUCAUAUUGUCACAUUCAAUUUAUAUUACAAAAUGACAACAUGGAUAUGUCCCACAAUUUCAUACUGUUAACAUGUCAUGUCUUGCAUUGUAUAGUUGUGUAUUGCUAUUGCUAUUUUGUACAUUUGCAUAUUUUGAUAUUCGAUGGUUGAAGAUUGUGAGAGGAUGUAGAAACUUCUGUCAUAGGAAAGUUGUAGAUUGUGAGAAAUGUAACAAGGACAUUGUUAAUAACAGUUCAUUUGUAAGUUAUGCUUUCCUCUACCAUGUUUGUAAUAUGAAAUAUUUCUUCACUACUAAUUUGUUUAAAUGCUCAUUUUUUGGACAAAGAAUUGUAUGAUCAAGAUGGACAAAAAUUAUAUAGAGGUUCUGCCACGGGAAAGUUGUAGAGGUGAACUAGAAUGUUAGAAGUCUAAGGUUUUGAAUUGAAGAAUGUUGAAAUUUAAUAAUUUGACAGAGUGCCUCAUGUAUUUGAUGUAUAAUGUGAAUGCAUUAGAUUUCAACAUGUAUAAUGCAUUAGACAUUUCAUUAUUAAUGUGAAGGAAUCAAUACAGUGCCUUACACCAGUCCACAUUUUGAUACUGUUCUUUUCAUUUUAUACUUUUCUUUUACUAUUUUAUUUAUGGUAUUUUUACUUCUAAUGAUUUGUGAUAUGCACCCUCAUGAAUAAAUAACUUUUUUAGUGGUUAAAUAUUCAUUCACCUUUAUGCAGUAUCUAAAUAAAAUAAACAAAAUCUAAUUAAAAAGUAUGGUGCAUAUGUGAACAUAUAUGUGCAUAUUAUUAUUAUAACAUUUUUCUUCCAAUGAUAUAGUAAUAAUAUUAAAAAAGUAUAAAAAAUUAUUAAUAUAGUAAUAAUACUUUAUAAAUAAUUAUACAUGUAUUUAAGCUUCAAUUGCUCCUUAAUCUUUGAUAUGAACACUUGUUGAUAUCUACUCCUUUUACCAAAAGCCGCACGUGCCGCUAUUCCGUAGGUCAUGGGGUAAAUGCUCUGGCUGAGAUUAACAACGCACCCUUCACUUGCAGCUAUUUUCUUAACCAGUUCUGCCACCUCCUCUUCCCUUAUGGAGAGAAACACGAAGAACAAAGAAUAAUAUAACAAACAGAAAACCAAGAACAUCAAAAUAACUGCAAAAAUGAAAAGGAAUGAUAAAAGACUAACCUUUUAUUCAGAAGAAUGGAAGACAAAAUGAGAAAUGAAGGUUUUCCAAUUUAUGAGAACUUAUAUAACCUCAAAAAGUGAUUUUCAAAUUCAAAAAUCGCGCCAUAAGAAACAACCCUAAAAGAAGAUAUCUGAGUUGUUGGUAAGGCAAUGACCAGAGUGUGUGCAGUGACCNNNNNNNNNNNNNNNNNNNNNNNNNNNNNNNNNNNNNNNNNNNNNNNNNNNNNNNNNNNNNNNNNNNNNNNNNNNNNNNNNNNNNNNNNNNNNNNNNNNNCCAAAAAAUUGAGGUUGCGACACGUGUCAAAAUAGGCCUAUUUGUGCUCCCUCAAUUGUUAUAUAUAUAGAUAUAGAAUAUAGAUAUAGAUUUAUUCAAGAAGACAACAUAUAAUUAAGAGAAAAAAAAACUUUACAGAGACAAGUAGAGUUUUAUCAUAAAAUCAUCAAAUAGAAACCAAAUUUAAAAAAACUAAAAUAAUUAGUUGCAAUAAUAACUAAAAUAGAGACCAUUUUAGAAAUUAAAAAAAUUGAUUUUUAAAUUAGUUUCUAUUAUUGUUAAAUAGUUUUUAAAUUGGUAUCUAAUUAGCUACCAAAGUUUUAACUACUAAUUAUUUAGUUUCUAAAUUUGGUAGCAAAAACCUUGGUUGCUAAUUAGAUACCAAUUUAGAAACCAUUUAACAAUAAUAGAAACUAAUUUAGAAACCAAAAAAUUAUUUAGUCCCUAAAAUGGUAUCUAAUUUAGUCACUCAACAAUUAAUAAAAGAAUUUCAUAUUUUAAGUUUUACAUUUAUCUUGUAUCAUAAUAUAUUGGAUAGCUAAUAUAUUGAAUUUGAAUUUCUUCAUUUAUUGAAUUUGAAUGUAAUGAACCUUAAGUAUGUAUAGAUUUCUUUGCAUUUUAACAUAGAUUUCUUUUUAUAACUCUUGUAUUCUACCUUCAUGUUUCACAUGCAUAACUUGAUUAUUUAUGUUUUAUUAAGUUUAUUACAUUGAAAAUAUUUUGAAGGUUAUAAAUUUAAGGUUAAAGAAAGAAGGAAUGUUAUGUUAAGCAUAAUAUUAGUUACAUUAGUCAUUCUUACAUAAAAUUUAAGAUGUUUCUUUUAAAAAAUUAAAAUUUGAAUAAACUAAAUGAAAGAAUAAUGAUAACAUUUGUAUAAAAACUUCUUAUAAAAUUCAUAACGUAUAAAGUAGUAAAAAACAAAAGUUAAAUAGUUGAUGACAUAAAAUUUGGACAUUACAUUUUUAAGGUUGAGGAAUGAUGGGAAUCAAACAUAGGUCAUUUUUUCUUUUAUGGGUAAUUCCACUUGACUCGAUCAUGUCAAGUUCAUCAUUCUUCAUUUUGUUGGGAAGCUUCCAAUCAAAAUGGUAAAGUAAUUGAGCAAAUGGCAACUCAACAUUGGGGAUGGCAAAAGUAAUGUCUGGGCAAAUCCUUUUGUCGGCCCCAAAUGGGAUAAAUUCAAAGUGUGUACCUUUGAAAUCAACAGAGUUAUCAAGAAACCUCUCAGGUUCAAAACUCUGAACUUCACUCCAAUACUCAUGAUUUCUUCAAAUUACCCAAGCAUUGAUAGUUUGUAGCUGGCGACCGAACCACGUUAAAUCUUGCGUUGUUUAUUUUUUUACAGUUGAUUCGUGAUUGUGUGUUACUCGUGUGCGUUUUUUCCUUCAUGUCAUACUAAGAAGAAUAUUAUUGAAAUAAAAAAAAUAUAAAAAUACAUUGAUAAGAUAUGGAGGUGAGGGCAGAAUUUGUCCUUUAAUUUUCAUUUCUAUGUUCUCCAUACCUUUUUUUAGGUUAAUUUAUCUGGUCCACUUGGUCUAAUUGUUAAUUGGACAAAAAAGAGUGGCACUAAAAUAUUUAUCUUAAAAUAAGAAAACAAAACUAUUUUUUGCUGAAAGGAAUAAAUUACAUAAAAUAAAUAAAAGAUAUCAAAUGAUUAACUAAAUACGUAUUUUUUUUUUAUCUAAAAUCUACUUAAAUGUUAUUUGCAGAGUAUCUAGAUCUUGUUUAAAAGAACUAAAUAUUUUAUCACAUUAAUUGAGUCAAAUUGAGAUAACGUAUAUUAGAACUAAUAUUUCUUUAUAUUUAAUAGGAUAAAAGUUAAACAAAUUCUUUUCAUUCUCGUCAUACUAACCUUUCUUAAUCAAGGCGGCACAAUAGAUUUUUCUACUAAUUUCAAUUUCAAGAAUAAAAACAUAAAAACUUUGAGAAAGGUUUAUAUGUUAAUAAAUAAGACGAAAUAAAUAGUACAAGAAGUGGAUGCAAAUAAUUAGCAUUAUGAAUGGUCAAUGUUUAUUUAUUUAUUCUCUAAGCAUAAACUCAUUGGCUCCAUUUAAAUGCCUUAUCUUUUUUUUAAGGUGUAGUUUUGUUGGUAAAGGACGUCUUUGUAAAAAGUUAGAGAGAGAGAAAUGACUUCUUCAUAAUUUAAAAUUAAAUCAUUCACUAAUUUAAAUAAAAAUUUAAAACAGUCAUGUGAAAUAAAUUAUAUAAAAUAAUUCCAACUUAUAAUUUCUUUUCUUUACUAUUUGUUCUCUCCUAUAAAUUAUUUUCUAAAANNNNNNNNNNNNNNNNNNNNNNNNNNNNNNNNNNNNNNNNNNNNNNNNNNNNNNNNNNNNNNNNNNNNNNNNNNNNNNNNNNNNNNNNNNNNNNNNNNNNAUUAGUUCGUUGAUUAAAUAUAAAGAAAAUUAUAUUGUAUGCGAGAAGUAUAUAUUUUCUUUUAUCUUUUCCUUAUUUAAUAUAUAUAUAUAUAUAUAUAUAUAAAAAGUUCAGUAUGACAUAUUUUCUUAUUUUUCAUGAUUUAGUGAGUUUUACCAAACAAGUUUUCUUGUGUUAACCUUUAUUUUUAAUUAAGCAUGUUAAAAAUAAAAUUGUAUUUAAAUAUAUUAUUUGAUUCAAUGUUGGUAAAAAUUAUUUAAAUUGAUCGAGUAUAAAUAUAGACAUGUAUAAUAAUUAACUUUUUAAAUUGAAUAUGAGAAUCAAAAUCAGUAUCUAUAUAUUUAAUAUAUUUCGUUUUAAAUUAAUUUAUUAUUCUACUUAAAAAAAUGUAAUUUUAAUUUAUGAAGACUCAUUGUCCUCUCUCACUCAAUUAUCUUUUAUUUUUACAUAUAAUAUAAUUUUUAAUUAUUUAUCUUUUAAGGUUUGAUGUUUUUAUAUAUUAUUAAUUGCAAAAAAUCUCAUAUUAUAAGCUAUUUAAUGUAAAUACAAAAUACAAUUAUAUCUUUAAAUAUUUUUCUUUAUUAUAUUUUUUUUAUUCAUAGUUACUUAGUAAAAUAAAAAGUAUAGAAUAAUAAUGUACAAAUUUAAUAUAUUAAGAUUACUGUUUUUUAUUUAUUUUUUAAUUUUAUUUGGUUGAAAAUCUAAAAAAUCUAAUAAUAGAAUUCUGUAUUUAUUAAGAUCUAAUAAGUAAAAAAAUUAUUCUUAUUUUUUCAAUAUUAAAAAAUCUAUUCAAACUUGUGUAAAUGUCUUGAAUUUUUUUUUUAACUAAAUCUAAAAUCUAAAUAUUUGUGAAAGUGAAUAGUGAUAAUUAUAAUAAUAAUAUAUAAAAUUGAACAGACCAAAAUCAAACAAGGAGUCAACAAAAAAAAUGUGAAGGUUCACCUAAAGUUUCUUUAUUCUCUGAUAUAUUUAUUCAAGAAGACAACAUAUAAUUAAGAGAAAAAAACACUUUAUAGAGAGAAGUAGAGUUUUAUUAGAAGGAAAAACAUUUGUUUACAUUUUAUGAAGUAUUGGUUGCACUGUCUACAUCUAGAACUAAAAGAAAAGACUCUUUUAAGUUUUACAAUUUCUUUCUUUUUUUUAUAUAUAUUCAAAAUAUAUUGUAUCAUAAUAUAUUGGAUAGCUAAUAUAUUGAAUUUGAAUUUCUUCAUGUAUUGAAUUUGAAUGUAAUGAACCUUAAGUAUGUAUAGAUUUCUUUGCAUUUUAACACAUAUUUCUUUUUAUAGCUCUUGUAUUCUACCUUCAUGCUUCACAUGCAUAACUUGAUUAUUUAUGUUUUAUUAAGUUUAUUACAUUGAAAAAUAUUUUGAAGGUUAUAAAUUUAAGGUUAAUGAAAGAACGAAUGUUAUGUUAAGCAUAAUAUUAGUUACAUUAGUCAGCCUUACAGAAUAUUUAAGAUGUUUCUAUUAAGAAAAUAAAAUUUGAAUAAACUAAUAAGGUAAAUGAAAGAAUAACAAUAACAUUUGUAUAAAAACUUUCUAUAAAAUUCAUAACGUAGGAAGUAGUAAAAGACAAAAGUUAAAUAAUUGAUUACAUAAAAUUUGGACUUAGGCUUGAAAAUUAUAUUUUAAGGUUGUGAGGAAUGAUGGGAAUCAAGCACAGGUCAUUUUUUCUUCUAAGGGAAACUCCACUUGACUCGGUCAUUUCAAGUUCAUGAUUCUUCAUUUUGUUGGGAAGCUUCCAAUCAAAAUGGUAAAGUAAUUGAGCAAGUGGCAACUCAACGUUGGGGAUGGCAAAAGUAAUGCCUGGGCAGAUCCUUCUGCCAGCACCAAAUGGAAUAAAUUCGAAGUGUGUACCUUUGAAAUCAAUGGAGUUAUCAAGAAACCUCUCAGGUUUAAAACUUUGAGCUUCACUCCAAUACUCGGGAUUCCUUCCAAUUGCCCAAGCAUUGAUAAUCACCCUAGUCUUAGAGGGUAUCUCAUACCCAUUGAUUUGACACCUUUCUCUAUUUUCUCUGGGAACUAACAAUGGUAUAGGUGGGUGUAACCUCAAUGUUUCUUUGAUGAUGGACUUCAAGUAUAUCAGUUCAUGUAAUUUUGUCUCAUCCACGCAUCCUUUCUCACCAUACACUUUUCUCACCUCUGCUUGUGCUUUUUCCAUCAUUCUUGGGUUUUUUAUCAAUUCUGACAUCCCCCAUUCCACUACAGAGGAUGAACUCUCUCCUCCACCGGUAAAUAUGUCCUGCAAAAUCAACGGUACACCUUGACAGUCCAACAAACUAAUAUUUUAAUAAUAUUUAAUUUAUUUUUAAUUAAAAAUAUUAUUAUAAUGAUUUAUCAAGUAUAUGUCUUUUAAUUUUUGAGUGUUAAUUUUUUUUAAGAAAAAUGUUUCUUUAACACCAUUUGAAUUAAAAAAUAAAUAAAAUUUUAAUUUAUUGAAGUGUGAGAUUGUGUUUUUACUUUUAGAAUGUCAGUUGUCGUAUAUUAUACAUAGAACACACACACUAACCUGGAUGAUCGAUUUAAGGUUGUCAUCGGUUAAGUGAAUUUCCGAAUCGUUCUCCUGUUGAUACUUGAGAAGAACGUCAACCAGAUCUUCCUCUGCUUCCGACUCGCUGCUGCUUCUAUGUCUCUGUCUGUGUUCGUCGACGAUGUCUUGCAAAACCCUGUCAACCUCUCUGUGAACUUUCUCAAAUUUCACCUUCGCCAUCAUUUCAAGCACUCUGCUAGAAGGAUAGAGUUCCGCCACCGAAAACCCUCCCAUAAGCUUCAAUUGCUCCUUAAUCUUUGAUAUGAACACUUGUUGAUAUCUACUCCUUUUACCAAAAGCCGCACGUGCCGCUAUUCCGUAGGUCAUGGGGUAAAUGCUCUGGCUCAGAUUAACAACGCACCCUUCACUUGCUGCUAUUUUCUUAACCAGUUUCGCCACCUCCUCUUCCCUUAUGGAGCGGAAAGAUUGCACGCGCUUUGCGGUUAGUAGCUCCACCGUGCAUAUCUUUCGC